UCAUUUCGUCAGCGUCCAUCAUCUACAACGCAAGGAGGGGGCAGGUGGAGUUUAAAGGCAGCAUCUCCGACACUGCCAGACUACCAGAUCAGUUACAGCCCAGUUUUAAGACGAUAAGAUAUUGGAAUAGAGUGAAGCCAUUUGGCCCAUCGCGUCUACACCAUAAUUCCAUCAUGGCUGUUCUAUUAUCCUUCUCAACCCCAUUCUCCUGCCUUUCCCGUAACCUUUGACGUCCUGACCAAACAAGAACCUAUCGCCCUCCGCUUUGUUCGGUGUUAUCUCUGAAGUAGAAUCCAAAGCCUCAGACUCAAGGGGAAACACUGAAAAUAAAUAAAAACAGACCCCCCCCCCCCGAACCAUCCACCAGAGAGAAGCGCUGAAGGCGAGGUUUCUAACUCCCCGGGGGGAAUCGGACACCGGCGGACAAUGGAAAGGCGUGGGGACGCGGCGAACACAAUGGGACGGGAAGAGUUGGGACGAUUCGAAAUCUUUGCUCGGAGAGGGAGCUCGGGCACGGUUGCAGGAAAGCCCGAGGGAGCAUCAACGGGGGGUCAGCAGCAGCGUGAACUCAGAAACGGAUUAUCCUCUGAACCAGUUUGAUCGACUCACUACAGUUGGAUGCCAGGGAUCCCUCUGCACCAAUAUCCAACAACAGCAAGCAUCAGAAAAGGGAAACACAAGACAUCCUGCAGAUGCUGGAGAUCCCGAGAAACAAAGUGCUGGAGGAACUCAGCAGCCUGAUGGUUGAGGGGUGGUAACUGUUCUUGAACCUGGUGGUGUGAGUCCUGAGGUACUUGUGCAGCAGCGAGAACCGAGCGCAGCCUGGACGGUGAGGAUCUUUGAUGAUGGAUGCUGCUUUCCUGUGACAGGGUUUGAAAUUGGACGCAGCCAGUAAACAGGUGAAGCCAAAGCCAUUUUUCUUGAUUGCACCAUCACCUCUCAUCACUAGUGUCGCACCUGUAAUCCUCAUGUUUCAAUAAUUGAUUAGCACAUGUUCAGACAGCCGAAUAUUUCCGUUGCAGCUUUGCUUUGGCAAGAGUAUGUUAUGGGGCUUUGCUUAGGAGAAUGCAAUUUCUUGCAUUGUUAGAGAUUUUUCCAUCCAGUGCUUCUGAGCAUGGUGAAUUGGUAAAUUAAACUUGGUAAAUUAAACCUGCAGAACCAUCCUCUCUAUCUCCAGAGAUUUUUUUGGGAGUGAUGUGAAUCUUUUGAUGACAAUUCACAUUGGAAAAUGGUUUGAUCAAACAACUACUCAAAUAUUAAGACUUUUCUCGUGGUACAUUAAAGCAAAGUUCUCUCCAGGCACAGUAUGAACAAAGGCAAGCAAGAGUCCCAGCCAAUUUACCUGUUAGUUUAUAUCUACUCUCAGUGACCACUUUAUUAGGUCUUUCAUGUGUCCACUAAAGUGGUCACUGAAUGCAUGUUCACGAUCUUCUGCUGCUGUAGCCCAUCCACUUCAAGAUUCGACAAGUUAUGCAUUCAGAGUAGCUCUUCUGCACACCACUGUUACAACGCAUGGCUACUUGAGUUACUGUCAGCUUCAUGUCAGUUUCGACGAGUCUGGCCAUUCUUAUAGAACAUAGAAAACCUACAGCACAAUACAGGCCCUUCGGCCCACAAAGUUGUGCUGCACAUGCCCCUACCUUAGAAAUUACUAGGCAUACCUAUAGCCCUCUAUUUUACUAAGCUCCAUGUAACUAUCCAAAAGUCUCUUAAAAGACCCUAUCGUAUCCGCCUUCACCACCGUUGUCAGCAGCCCAUUCCACACACUCACCACUCUCUGAGUAAAAAACUUACUCCUGAUAUCUCCCCUAUACCUACUCCCCAGCACCUUAAACCUGUGUCCUCCUGUGUCUUCUCUGACCUCUUACAUUAACAAGCUGUUUUCACCCACAGAACUGCCACUCACUGGAUGUAUUUUUAUGUUUUGCACUGUUCUCUGUAAAUUCUAACGCUGGGGUUCCAGGACAGGGGUCCACUGACCCCUUAAUUACUGAUUUUGGUCCGUAGCAUAAAACAAUUUUGGGAACCCCUGCCCUAGGGACUGUUGUGUAUCAAAAUCCGGGGAGAUCUGCAGUAUUUGAGAUACUCAAGCCACGCCAUCUGGCACCAACAAUUAUUCACUGUUCAAAAUCACUUGGAUCACAUUUCUUCCCCAUUCUGAUGUUUGGUCUGAACAACAACUGAACCUCUUGACCACGUCUGUGUGCUUUUAUGCAUCGAGUUGCUGCUACCUGAUUGACUGGUUUACAGGUGCACCUGAUGAAGUGGCCACUGAGGGUAUCAUUUUCUGUCUUGCGUCACCUUGCCAGGUAUACGCUGCCUGUCAUCUUUCUCAUAUUACAAUGAUGACUGCACUUGGAAAACAAUUUUAUUGCCUCUAUACCACUCCGGGAUGUCUUAUAGAAGGACGCCCCAGAGGAUUUUCCCAUCCCUCUAUCACAGCAACAAAGAAAACAACCAGAGCAACACUCGCAAAAUGCUGGAAGAACUCAGCAGGUCAGGCAGCAUCUGUGGAGAGGAAUAAACAGUUAACAUAAGAACAGACCAUGCAUCCAUCCCCUCCCAGGUGUUCACUUCAUCCCCUCUGUCUCCCCCACCCACCUUCCCUCUCACUUCAUCUCACCUAUCACCUGCCAACUUGUACUUCCUCCUCCCCCCACAUUUUUAUUCUGGCUUCUCCCCCCUUCCAUGCCAGUCCUGAUGAAGUGACUCACUCUUCAGCAGUUUAUCUCAGUCCCAUCAGGGAAGAGGCUUCAUAGCAUCCAGAUUCUAAAAAAAAGACUUUCCCCAAGCAGUGAGGCUGAUUAACACCUCCACCCACCAAUCCUUCCCUCCACACCCCCCCCCCCCCACCACCACUACUUUAUCAGUUCCAGUCAGUCACAUCAUGUACAGACACUCCUGUAACUAGACUAGUUGAGUGGUGUCGCAGCAACAACCUGGCAUUCAACGUCAGUAAGAUGAAAGAGCUGAUUGUGGACUUCAGCAAGGGUAAGACAAAGGAACACACCCAAUCCUCAUAGAGAGAUCAGAAGUGGAGAGAGUGAGCAGUUUCAAGUUCCUGGGAGUCAAGAUCGCUGAGGGUCUAACCUGGUCCAAACAUAUCGAUGCAGUUAUAAAGAAGGUAAGGCAGCGACUAUACUUCAUUAGGAGUUUGAAGAGAUUUGGCAUGUCAACAAAUACACUCAAAAACUUCUAUAGUUGUACCAUGGAGAGCAUUCUGACAGGCUGCAUCACUGUCUGGUAUGGAGGGGCUACUGCACAGGGCUGAAAGAAGCUGCAGAGGGUUGUAAAUCUAGUCAGCUCCAUCAUGGGUACUAGCCUACAAAGUACCCAGGACAUCUUCAAGGAGCGGUGUCUCAGAAAGGCAGUGUCCAUUAUUAAGGAUCUCCAGCACCCAGGGCAUGUCCUUUUCUCAUUGUUACCAUCAGGCAGGAGGUACAGAAGCCUGAAGGUGCACACUCAGCGAUUCAGGAACAGCUUCUUCUCCUCUGCCAUCCGAUUCCUAAAUGGACAGUGAACCCAUGAACACCACCUCACUUUUCAAAUAUAUAUUAUUUCUGUUAUAUAAUAUAUUAUUUCUGUUUUUUGCACGAUACAUAUAAUGUUAUUUAUUGUUUAUUGUUAAUUUUUUUCUUCUGCUGUAUUAUGUAUUCCAUGUAUGCUGCUAAGUUAACAAAUUUCACAACAUAUGCUGGUGAUAAAGGACCUGAUUCUGACUCUGAUUCAUCUUAAAUACCUGUACAUACAAUCAGCUUUUUAAUUAUUAUUGUAUUCUUUAUCUUAUUGUGUUUUUUGUGCUUCAUCAAACCCAGAGUAAUGAUUAUUUCAUUCUCCUUUACACUUCUGUACUGGAAAUUACUUUAAGAAAUCUCGAACUUGAAACAUCAACUGUUUAUCCAUUUCCAUCGAUGCUGCCUGACCUGCUGAGUUCCUCCAGCAUUUUCUAUGUGUUGCUCUGGACUUCCGGAAUCUGCAGAACUUCUUGUGCUCAUAAGACCACAGGGGAUUGUUGACUGAAUCAAUUUGUUUUAGUGCAUUCAAACAGAAUUGUUCUGAUGUAUUGCUGCCCAGUUAGUGGUGGAAAUGGAAUAAAAUGAAUCAAUCAAAUUCAAUGUGUGAAUAAUUGAAAGUAGUGAAAUCACAACAAGAGAAAAUCUGCAGAUGCUGGAAAUUCGAGCAGCACACACAAAAUGCUGGAGGAACUCAGCAGACCAGGCAGCAUCCAUGAAAAAAAAGUACGGUCGAUGUUUCAGGCCCAGACCCUUUUUUUAAAACUUUUUUUAUUGAGUUUUCAAAUGAUUACAGAAAGAAAAAAAUAUAUACCCUUCCCCCUUCCCCUUAGCCCCUCCCCCUAACAUCCCUAUAGAAAAAAAGAAAAAGAGGAAAAAAGAAAGAAAGAGUGCCUGGAUAUCGGAAGAUCCCCACAUGCUCCACGGAGUUCGUAAUAACUUUAGUAUAUAUAUUUAUUUAUUUCCUCAAAUAACCAAUUAUUUUAUCUUCGGAGCACCUAUGUAUUUAAUCCUGUCUUUUGUAAAUAAGGGCGCCAAAUUUUCAAAAAUAUUUAGGCCCAGACCCUUUGGCAGGAUUUAAAAGUAGUGGGUGAACGGAGGUAAGAAUUAAAUGGGGCUGCACAGUAGUAUAGUGGUUAGCACAUCGCUUUGCAGUACAGGCGACCCAAGUUCAAUUCCCACCGUGGACCGUAAGGAGUUCAUACGUUCUCCUUGUGACCGCGUGGGUUUCCUCCGGGUGCUCUGGUUUCUUCCGGCAGUCCAAGGACCUACUGGUUGGUAGGUUAAUUGGUAAAUUGCCCGUGAUUAGGCUGGGGGUUAAAUCAGAGGAUUGCUGGGUGGCGUGCCUGGAAGGAUCUAUUCUGCGCUGUAUCUCAUUAAAUAAAUAAACCACAAUAGAAUCUGACUAAAGAAUUUAUACUCACCAAUUAACCUGCAUAUGAUAGCAACAGGUGUGGGAGGAAAACUUAUCAGGGAGAACAUGCAAAGUCCACACAGGACCAACUGCUGGAACUGAGAGGGAGAAGCUCUCCUCAUGUGAUUCCAGAUCCUACUGUCUGCACUAUAAUUGCUUAUAAUUACCUGUGUGUCUAGUGCUUGUGAACACACACACUCUCUCUCUCUCUCUCUCUCUCUCUCUCUCACACACUCAAACCCCAUUAGCUACAUAUACACCGACAGACAAAGAGUAUUAGAUGUACAUCCGUGUGGAACAUCUCAGUACGUCAGAUAACCUGCUUUAGAACUGGCAAUGUACCGGCCAGUGGUGUAGUGCCAUCAGCACCAGACUUUGAGGCGAGGGUUCGAAUCCGGCCAGCUCCCUGCACGCUCUCCAUCCGUGCCGGGCUGAGCAUCGACCCAGCCACUCAGCCCCGUAAAAACCGGACGAGUGCCAAAGAAACGGCAAGGUGCCGCCCAAUGUGCGACAAGGCGCGGAGAGGAAUUACACAGAACCGGUAAUUGAGGACAAACAUCUCCCUUUCUCUGCCACGACUUUGACAAGCACCUGGGAAACUUUCACAGUUCAGCACUUGCUUUCUCUAACUCAGGAGGUGAUUCAGCCCAUCAGAUCUAGCCCUCAGGGAAUUCUCAUCACUCCCCUAGACAGGGGAGGACAAGAGAAAGGGUAUGAGUGGAGUCAGAAUGGGGAAUGGAAAAGGAGGAGGGAGGAGAAAUUUCUAGAAGUUAGAGAAAUUGCUGUUCAUGCCAUUAGAUUGGAGGCUGCCCAGACAGAAUAUGAGAUGUUGCUCCUCCAACCUGAGGGUGGCCUCAUUGUGACAGUAGAGGAGGCCAAGGACCAACAUGUUGGAAUGGGAAUGGGAAUGGGGAUUGGAAUUAAAAUGGUUGGCCACUGGCAAAUCCUCCCUGUUGUGGACAGAGCAAAGGUCCCCCAAUCUAUGUCAGGACCCAGCAAUGUUGAGGAGGCUACGCCGGAUACAGUAGGUGGCCCUGACAGGGGUGAGAAUGGAGGCUGGCAGGUGUAGUGUUGUCUCACAUGAAAGGAGAGUUUGGGGCUCGGAAUGGCGGUGAGCGAGGAGCGGAAUGGACAGCUGUAGUGCGUGUUCUGCUUGCAGGGUUUAGCGCCGGCAGCAGGGAGGAUUUUCCAGAGGCUCACCAGUUUAAUUUCGCUCCCCAUUCCCACUCCGACAUGUCAGUCCACUGUCAUGGUGAGGUCACACUCAGGCUAAAGGAGCAGCACCUCAUAUUUCAUCUGGGUAGCCUCCAACCUGAUGGCAUAAACAUCGAUUUCUUUGUUUCCAUACAUUUUGCCCAAAACUUUGACUCUUUAUUCCCUCCAUAGCUUCUGUCUAAACUACUGAGUUUCUCCAGCAUUUUGUGCCUGUUCCUCUGCAUUUCCAGUAUCUGCAGAAUCUAUUCUGUGUUUAGAACUGAAAUAAUGUCUACUGCUUCUCCUUUCCUUCCCGCUCAACCUCCCUCCCCAACCCCAGGUGAUAACACCCCCUGGACAAUGUCCUCAGACAGCUUCUCCCUCACAAUGAAUCCCAGAGUUAAAAGCCGGGGUUGAACCUGUGGCUGGUGGGUGCUCUGGUGCAGGGCAGCUCUGCCCUCUGGUGGCAAUGAGUUCCACACGCGUGGUGGCUGUUCGAGCCCCGGCUGGCUCCUGUUACCUGGGUCAGUGUCAGCUACAGAUACCCACUUGCCAUCACAGUCAGCUGACCUCCCUUCUCACAGGACCCACAGUUACCUUCGCGAAAGAAGGGUGGCACGAAGAAUGGGCUUACUGUAUGUCAGGCCGUAACUUAAUUUUAUUGACACAGCACGAAGUAGGAAGUAAAUUUAUUAUCUAAGUACAUAUAGGAAAUGUCACCCCUGACCUUCAUUUUCUUGCAGGCAUUCGCAGUAAAUGCAAGAAACACAAUAGAAUCAAUGAAAAGCCACCCCCAACAGGAUGGUCAAACAACCAGUGUGCUGAAGAUAACAAACUGUGCAAAUACAAAAAGAAAAAAUGAAAUAAUAAACAAACAAUCAAAUAAAUAAAUAGUUCAAAGGGCUUGUGGGGCCACAUCCUGGACUUGGUCUUCCUUACACCAGCACAUGGAGAUGUCCGUGGAGGAACGCUGCCAGUCGGCAGGAGUACGUGCUGAGGGACCCACUGAAGCUCGAUGCAGCCACUGCAAGGAUUCAGUGGGGAAGGACCACAGUAUAGAGUCCUACAAGAGGGAGGGGCUGGGUGGAUGAGGAAGCCCCUCAAUUACUGUAGUAACAUACCACCUCAAGGGUCUACAUGACAGGCAACAAUGCUAUUGGUUUUUAAGAAAUGUAUUGAAUACUACUUAUUGACUAAAUGUAAGGAAAACAAGGUGUUGCACAGUUAAUUCUUGUCAAUAAUUUUGAAAUUCAUGAAUUUAUGAAAGUUUGUUUUGAUAUAUUAAAAAAAUGAUGU